UGAAAGCCUUCAAAAUACCUUAACAUAUUUUGUGUGGCUAAAGAGAUGGAAAAUUCGAGAUAGCUUAAUGGUUAUGAGAACCUUCGGAAUAUGGGGUUGAAAUACCCUAAUCAGUAUGGAGACAGUUGUUUUCUCCUUGGAGAAUGCCCAUUGCGGUUGGCUGCUAUAAUCUUCAAAUGAAGGAUGAAACAUGUAUAGAGUCCCUCGAGAUAAGAAUGUUGCUAUCCUAUGGAUAACAUAGGAAGUGAACUGUUGCUAGAGUGCAACUUGAGGCGAGACGGUCCUUGAAUGCCAUUGAUGGCAAGGUUGGCUUAUGUGUGGAUUCUAUUGAAUCCCACUUAAUUACGAGGCGAUAGAUGCUAUGAGCUGCUGAAGUAAAAUCAGCUACGAGAUAAAUUCGGAAAAGGGACAGGUGGAUCCCAAAUCAUGCUGCGUAGAAAUUGAGUUGGCUUACGAUAAGCCUAGAAAGGGUAUAAAACCCCGGGUCCAAUUUCGGAGGUAUCGAGUUGGCUUGUGGUAACACAAGAAAGGGCGGAGGCUCAAUUGUGCAUGCAAGCACUAUGAAGUUGCGUUGGCAAACGGUAGCCUGAACAUUCAUACCAAACUCAAAGUUUCGGAUGCCUAAUACUGGUAACUAGGUCAUAAUGCUAAUGGUAGUAGCGUAUAUGAGAAAAGCUUGCCAGAACAAUCUUAAAAUACGAGAUGGCGCUGUUGAGAGCCACAUUGUGAUAAAAGUGGCGUUGCCACCUGUGGGAGGGCUGCACGCCUCAUUAGAUAUAGUCUUUUGAGGAGAGGGUAAUGACUCCCCGAUGAAUUGGGUGUGCCAAUAGAGCUUGAGGCCACCUUGAAUACCUAUGAAGUGAGAAUACAUAGAGAUGAUGAAGCACUUGUCAAGUGACAUUGAGUUAUGGGCAAACAAAUGAUCUUGGGAUCACAAUUGUGAUGAUAGUGGGGUCGAAGAGAGUUCCAGACACUUGUGGGAAAUCUAAGCAAUUGUGAUGUCCAAGCAUUUAGAUUGCGAUAACGAGAUGAGCUUGACGACUGUGACCGUCGUGUAUAUGUGUUUUUCACCGAGGAAAUGAAAAUGAGAAACAUGCGGGAUAAGAGAAGUCCCUCGAGGCAAUCUUGUGAAAAUUUUGCAGGUGGAGAGUGCAAUCAUGAGCCAUAUGAUAUCCUGUCGAGAUGUCAACCACAUUCCAAGUGGAAGAUGAGAAGUAGCAAAAGGUGGAGACCUCAAGAGAACACGAAUGUCAAACUCACUUGGUGGUGCCCAAGAUGAAUUAAAGCCAAAAUAAGAAGAAAAUGAAGCGAGUUGAAGCAAUUAGUAGCCGAGAACUAUUGAUCGUCGAUAAACAGUAGCAUCAAGAGACGGGUAUACCAACAAUGGGUGUGCAGUAAGAAAUGAGGGCAAGCUUAACUGGAGCAAUGAGUCCCACGAGCAUAAUGGGAGUUCCCGAGAGGAACGUGGCAAUACACAAAAUCGGUAAUGUGUCAGUUUCGGUAUUCAUUUACAUGAUGAAUAUGUUGUUCAUUAUUGGCAACUAUAAUAUUAUAGCAUAUCUUCGAAAUCGAAUAUUGUUACUUUCGUAUGUCUGAGUUCAUGUAUAACACUAUUUUGUAUUGUGAUUAUUUGCGAGGUACUUAUAAUGGCGUGAUCAUAAGGCAAAGCCACUAGAAUGACUUAGCAAAGGCCCAAUGAGAUUCAUGCGGAGGCAUGUUAAUCACAAUACGGAGAAAUGAAGCAUCGGAGGAAUCAUCCCAAAAUGAGAUAUGAAGAAUUAAGUGGGGGAGUAUGCAGAUGAUUGAACAGAUCCAUCAUAGUGGGAACUCGCUGGGUUGCAAUGCCACAGCAACAACAGCGAUAGUCGACAGGAUUGUCGAGUAUCCAAGUGGGGCAGAAUGUCACAAGGAAGAAAA
rnacentral:misc_RNA from 1 species